rnacentral:rRNA from 1 species
CCUACGGGAGGCAGCAGUGGGGGAUAUUGCACAAUGGGGGAAACCCUGAUGCAGCGACGCCGCGUGGGUGAAGAAGCGUUUCGGCGCGUAAAGCCCUAUCGGCAGGGAAGAUGAUGACGGUACCUGACCAAGAAGCCCCGGCUAACUACGUGCCAGCAGCCGCGGUAAUACGUAGGGGGCAAGCGUUAUCCGGCUUUACUGGGUGUAAAGGGGGCGCAGACGGCAAGGCAAGCCAGGAGUGAAAGGCCGGGGCUCAACCCCGGGACUGCUUUGGGAACUGCAUGGCUGGAGUACAGGAGGGGUAGGUGGAAUUCCAGGUGUAGGAGUGAAAUCCGUAGAUAGCUGGAGGAACAUCAGUGGCGAAGGCGACUAACUGGCACAUAACUGACGCUGAGGAGCGAAAGCGUGGGGAGCAAACAGGAUUAGAUACCCGGGUAGUC